UAAUACGAAGGGGGCUAGCGUUGCUCGGAAUUACUGGGCGUAAAGGGAGCGUAGGCGGACAUUUAAGUCAGGGGUGAAAUCCCGGGGCUCAACCUCGGAAUUGCCUUUGAUACUGGAUGUCUUGAGUGUGAGAGAGGUAUGUGGAACUCCGAGUGUAGAGGUGAAAUUCGUAGAUAUUCGGAAGAACACCAGUGGCGAAGGCGACAUACUGGCUCAUUACUGACGCUGAGGCUCGAAAGCGUGGGGAGCAAACAGGAUUAGAUACCCUGGUAGUCCACGCCGUAAACGAUGAUUGCUAGUUGUCGGGAUGCAUGCAUUUCGGUGACGCAGCUAACGCAUUAAGCAAUCCGCCUGGGGAGUACGGUCGCAAGAUUA
rnacentral:rRNA from 1 species